CGCUGACUGUUUCUAAGUUGAAAAAUCCUCUUCCGUCUCCUUUCCCUGCCUCCGCUCCUUUCCCUUUCCUCUCUGCAAAUAUUACUAGACCCCGCGUCUGGCGUCGCCGGUGCCCAGCAGUCUGCGGGGCAGGCGGCUGGAGUACAAUGGAAUGAUCUCUGCUCACUGCAACCUCUGCCUCCUGAGUUCAAGAGAUUCUUCCUGCCUCAGCCUUCCAAGUAGCUGGGAUUGUAGUACUCUACCUUUUGAUUGGAUUGGUUAAUCUAUUUACAUUUAAGAUUAAUUGGAAUUCUACAAAAUGUCAGGUGUCGUACCCACAGCCCCUGAACAGCCUGCAGGUGAAAUGGAAAAUCAAACAAAACCACCAGAUCCAAGGCCUGAUGCCCCUCCUGAAUACAGUUCUCAUUUUGCACCAGGACCCCCUGGAACAGCUGUCCCUCCACACACAGGCUACCCAGGAGGCUUGCCUAUGGCAUACUACAGUCCACAGCAACCCGGGACCUUCCCUUCAUACCAGCCAAUUGGUGGUACCCAUCCUGUUCGUUAUCAGCCUGGAAACUAUCCUGUGCCAAAUCAGCCUGUUCCAGUAACAUGGAUGCCAGGGCCAACUCCUAUGGCUCACUGCCCUCCUGGUCUGGAAUACUUAGUUCAGUUGGACAACAUACAUGUUCUUCAGCAUUUUGAGCCUCUGGAAAUGAUGACACGUUUUGAAACUAAUAAUAGAUAUGAUAUUAAAAACAACUCAGACCAGAUGGUUUACAUUGUAACUGAAGACACAGAUGACUUUACCAGGAAUGCCUAUCGAACACUAAGGCCCUUCGUCCUCCGGGUCACGGAUUGUAUGGGCCGAGAAAUCAUGACAAUGCAGAGACCCUUCAGAUGUACCUGCUGUUGCUUCUGUUGCCCGUCUGCCAGACAAGAGCUGGAGGUGCAGUGUCCUCCUGGUGUCACCCUUGGCUUUGUUGCAGAACACUGGAACCUGUGCAGGGCAGUGUACAGCAUCCAAAAUGAGAAGAAAGAAAAUGUGAUGAGAGUGCGUGGGCCAUGCUCAACCUAUGGCUGUGGUUCAGAUUCUGUGUUUGAGGUCAAAUCCCUUGAUGGUGUAUCCAACAUCGGCAGUAUUAUCCGGAAGUGGAAUGGUUUGUUGUCAGCAAUGGCAGAUGCUGACCAUUUUGACAUUCACUUCCCAUUAGAUCUGGAUGUGAAGAUGAAAGCCAUGAUUUUUGGAGCUUGCUUUCUCAUUAGGAAGAGCAAACCUCAUCAGGAGGUGAUCGUAACCAGAAGAUGAAGUACUAUAAGGAGUUUCUUUCCCUGCUACGCUUGUAAUGAAGGAAAACCAAAGAGUUGGAUAAAAGGUGAGAUAUAGGAAAGCUCCUAGAAAAGGGAGAGUAGUAGAGGUGGAACUUAGUUAAUGCAAGAAAUUUGUACAGCUGCCCAAUCUUCAACCAGAACUCUGAUGAGGCCAAUUGUCCUGAUCCUGUGUCCCAGGUGCCCAGAGUAGGUUGGUGGUGAGUGUUCACUAGUGUGUGUAAUGAGGGUGGGGAAGGUGCUAGAGCUGGGGUGAUGGGAAUGCCUUUGCACAUAAUAUCUAAACAAAAAACAUAAAUUGCAAAUUAUAAAAACAUGGUAUUGUCAUUAGCUAACUUAAUAGUUGCCCAUUAAAUUUCUUGCUGUUCUUACUUGUACUGCUUCUCAGCACAGAAACCAGUUGUGAAAUCAUGUAAUUUGGGGAUAUAUAAUUGCUAGCUUUGCCCAAAGAUUUAAUUCUAGGACAGAUGGAUAUGCAUCUGGGGCACAUAUGGAGAAAAAACAACCUAAUCAUGAGGUAGGUGGUAUAAUGCAACUGCCUAUAAUAACAAUAAUGAUAGUGAUGAAGAUGAUCAAAACCAGCCAGCUCUAUUUAAUGCUUUCUAUAAGCCAGAUACUCUUCCAAUCCUAAAGACUUUCUACAUAUUAGCCCAUUUAAUUAUUAUAACCCUAUGAGAGAUUACUAUAAUGGUUCCCAUUUUACAAAAUAGAAAAUGAAGAUUUAGGUGGCUUGCACAAGGCCACUCAGCUAGUUGUGUAUCCACAAAGCCAUUAUUUGACUGCUCAAAGCAAUGACAAGCAAAAAGAACAAAGCUGGAGGCAUUAUAUUACCUGACUUCAAAUUAUACUACAAAGCUGUAAUAAUCAAAACAGCCUAGUACUGGUACAAACAUCCAGAGUCUACACUCGACAUUUUUAUGCCCUGUUUUUCUUUCAUCUCUGUGUAAUAUUUGAUUUGUCUGUUAACCUGAAAUCCAGGGAAACAGAAAUAGAGAAGAAAGGUGGCAUGCUACUUCAUGUGUUUUCAAAUUAGGACUAUGGCCAGGAAACCUAAGAGACUCCAAGAAAGUCUUGUCUGAGGGUAGCUCUCUCCAGAGAGGCUUGCCUUUGCUCCUACUGGUGCCUCAGUGGUGUUACCAGCUGAUGACCAUUUUUUAUAUUCUUUCUUCAGUUUGGUGUUUCUCAAGUCAUGUAUGCAUUUCAAAUAUGAACCCCUAAAUGAUGUAGACAAAUCCUAGUUUAUAAAUUCUCAGGGAACAAAUUUUCCCUACCUGGAGCAGAGGUCAAAAUAAUCAAGGUUUCUCUUAAUUUCUAUUUGCCAAUUUUUCUAUUUCACUUUUCAUACUGGAAUGUGUCCCUUUGAGACUUUUCACUUUACUGGGGUUCUCUCUUCAAAUACCAAGCCUUACCUAAGCCCAGGACCGCACUUCCAGCCUCCUGGUGAUGGGUAAAAUCAAAGCCCCUUGCUAAUAAAGAUUGGUGACUCCUUUGAUUUGAGAAGCCAAAGAAAAUGUCAGACUAAGCUUAAUAGUCGAAAAUGUCCAAUUAUUUUUUAUUUUUGACUUCUGUUAAAAUCUUGUACUCUCCCAAAAUCUACCCUUUGCAUCUAAGUGCCUUUUGGUUAUAUUUCAGUCAGACUUUAGAUGUUCUGUGGAAAGAGGAUUUUAAGAUUAUCUAGUUUGCAACAUUGCCAGCAAUGUGAGUGACCUAUUUUUUAAAACUGAAUAUAAUUUUUACAGUGAAAUAUUCAGAGAAAAAUUCCUUAACAUAAGUGUAACCAUAUAAUUUUGAAAUUUGCAACUUACUACUAUUUGUUAUACCUAAGUUACAACUAAAUGUUUUUCUCUUUGAGAUGAAUUGUUAAGUUCCAGAUUCUCUUAAAAUGUUUUAAUAUUUCUAGUAGUGUUGCUAAAUAAAAUACAUUUAUUUAAAAUUGUGUCAGCUCUUCUAUGAUCAGGCUUAGGCAAAUUUAUUUUCGGAAAUUAUAGGAGCAAUCUUUAUAAACAGUUUUGAAAACAUGUUGCUCAAAUUGUCUUAGCUAACAAUCACUAAACAAUUUACGUGAGUUUUAACUUUUCAUUGUAACAGGUAAAAGCUAACAUAGUUAAAGAUCAGACCAUUUUAAAAGCUCUUGAUUUUACAGAAAUAGACAAGUGGAGAGUGUCAGAGACCAGCAAGUAGAGUGACAAAAUAUUUAUCUAGCUUUGCUACCUUUCUCCACUCCACGUGUCAGAACGCUGAAUAAAACAAGCUGCAACAGGGGGCAGCACUAACUCACGGAUUUUUUUUGUUGUUGAACUAUGCUCAUUUUUAAAUCCAAGAAUUUGUCAGUACUAAUCUAUAAAUUUUAAUGAAUAGAAUCAGUGUAUUUUAAAAUCAGAAGAAGUAUUAAGGACCAUCUGCUCUACAUUCUAAUAUAUAAGGGAAAGAAGUGGGAGAGACCCAGGUUAUAUGUCCAAAAUUACAUUGAGAAUUAAUUAGUAAUCAAACUAGAACUAAAAAUACAGAUUGUCAUUUUUAUCCCAGUUUCUGUGCCACCACAGCAAAAAUUUAGUGUAGAUUUAAAACAUUUUAAAGCAACAUAUUUUGUAACAUUGAGAUUUUAAGCGUGAAAAAAUUAAAACCCAGUUUAAAAUUAUUCUAAUGUUCAAAAUCUUUUUUAAGCACAUUGGUGUCUACCCCAAUAACCAGAUUAAUUGCAGAGAUUUUCUAACUAUAAAGGAGAAACAAAACACUAUGUUAUCAAAAAAACAAAGACAUUUAUAUGUCCUGAGAAACAGACUUUUUUAUUCCUCCAUUCAUACAUUGAUAUACCUUUCUCUUCUUCUGUAGUCACCAUGCACAUCUGAGUUCAAUUUCUUUAUUAAAAUAUGUAUUUUUGCAUUUGUUGUUAAAAACUAUUAAUUGAUAGACGUUCCUGCUUUGAAGAGAUGUAAUUGUUAGUUAACAAGAGAAUGUCAGAUGGGCGCAGACAGAAUCAAGCCAUUAUUUCAGUAGGAAAAGGAAAAUAUGGCUGAUGGGCAUGGAAUACAGUCUGCCCAGAUGUGACCCAGCCUGCCUACUGACCUGACAGAUGACAAGGAAUAGACAAUAUGGCUGGGGAUGUGGGGACAUUUUUUUCAAAAGUCUGGCAAAUCAGAUGACAGCUACAAACAUUUUUCCUGGCCACGCUAAGGGUCUAUUUUAUCCCUUUGAAUUACUUAGAUUUUAUUAUUUUUUCUAAUAGUUGUAACAUUUCUAUUUGUUUGUUGUGUUUGUGUAUCUCUCUUAAUUCUACAUGGCUUUAUGCAUUCUAUAUGACUUCAUGCAUUUCUAUUUACAAAAAAGACAUUUGUUUGAGAUAUGACCAGAGGGCCUGCCUGGACAUAGAAAUCAGGGAGAUAUUAUAUUGUUUACUUCACUGAUAGCUUUGUAACUUUCAAAAGGAAACUAUGUAUAUGUUGCUGGUGUUUUGAGAGAUUACUUUGUCAGUGAAAUCUAUUGAAAAAUAGCAAAGGAAAGCAGAAAUCAUUUUUAUCCUGAUAAGGCUGUUUUAAAGAUAUGCCAUAUAUUCUGGCAUCAAUAGGUUUGUAGAAUGAUAUAUAAUCAGUUACCCUCCUUGUCUCAGGCAGAGAUGUAAAAACAGUUCCUGGUAGAGGCUUGUCUCUCUAAUACUACCCCAUGGAGGAGGAAGGACUGUGUGUGCCCUUUAGACAGCCUGCCUCCCUGAAGAGAGACAAAAAGAAGGGAUUGAACUACUCAUGCUCAGUUUUUUUCUUACAGAAGGCGGAGAAUGGUCAGGAGUAUUCUGUAAUGCCAUUAUCUCACAUGGAAAUGUCAGGAGUGGGGAAUGAUUGCAGAAGGGGUGUGGAAACAUGGCAACGUUCUGGCCCAUUAAAAGUGAGGUGUGGCAACUUCUUUAAAAGAUAAAUGGUAUAUAUCUUUUGCUGCUAUUUAUUCUUUCCUGCUUCUUGUGGACUUCAGUGUCAAUGUGAAGUCUGGCAGCAGAACACCGUUCUUGGACCACGAGCUGAUCUUGGGAAUGUACACUGAAUAAUAGAACAAUAAGAUAGAAGAAACUUGGGUUGCUGAGAUUUCUUAGAGAAAAUGAUGCCAUUGCAGAGCUGCCAUAUGAUUCCUAGACUGUUUACACUUAAGAAAUAAAAUGUUUAAAUAAAAUAUUUUUGGGGAGGUCUCUUAUCUGCAUCUAAACCCAGUAAUAAAAUACUUAUCGGCCGGGCGUGGUGGCUCACGCCUGUAAUCCCAGCACUUUGGGAGGCCGAGGCUGGUGGAUCACGAGGUCAAGAGAUCGAGACCAUCCUGGUCAACAUGGUGAAACCCCGUCUCUACUAAAAAUACAAAAAAUUAGCUGGGCAUGGUGGCGCGUGCCUGUAAUCCAAGCUACUCGGGAGGCUGAGGCAGGAGAAUUGCCUGAACCCAGGAGGCGGAGGUUGUGGUGAGCCAAGAUGACGCCAUUGCACUCCAGCCUGGGUAACAAGAGCGAAACUCUGUCUCAAAAAAACAAAAAAAAACUUAUCUCCCAACAUAUAAGCUUUUAAAAUAUGUAAGCCCUAACCCAGAUGUUAAUUUAAAAAAAUAUGUCUAAGAGUAGAUAAAUUUAACCUAAUUGAUUGCUACAGUUUUUCUUUGUAGGACACAUUCUUUUCAGAGUAUAAGCAUAUAAUUUUCCAUAUUUUGGUAAAUGAUUAAAAAUUUUCUAAUACGUUAAAAAUAGAUCAAGGUUUUAAUAGUAGAUACCUCAAGAAAGUAGAUUUUGGGAAUUAAUAUUUAUUUUAGAUUUUUCUGCAUUGCAUGAAUAUAUAAGAAAAAUAUUAAGUUCAUAAUUUAAAAAAUUACAAUAAACUUUUUGAGAUUUAUUCAGAAAUGAUAUUCCUGUAGCUGGAAAUGCCCUGGGAUGCCAUUUUUAGGCUAUAAUUUAGGACUCUGGUGAAGAAACAUUAAAAUUUACUGAAAACUUUUUUUUUUUUUUUGAGACAGAGUCUCUGUUGCCUGGCGCCAGGGUAGAGUGCAGUGGCGGGAUCUUGGCUCACUGCAACCUCUGCCCGAGGUUCAAGCAAUUCCCCUGCCUCAGCCUCCCAAGUAGCUGGGACUGCAGGCACGCACCACCACGCCCAGCUAAUUUUUGUAUUUUAGUAGAGAUGGAGUUUCACUAUGUUGGCCAGGAGGGUCUCAGUCUCUUGACCUUGUGAUCCGCCCGUCUCAGCCUCCCAAAGUGCUGGGAUUACAGGCAUGGAAUCCCAGCUAGAUAUGCUGGGAUUACUGGGCCUGACUUGAAAACAUUUUAGUAAUAGCAAUACAAGGGUCUUGCCUGUAGACAUUGAUUUAAUUGUUAUUGAGGGAAUCUAGGCAUAAUAUACUUAAAAAUUCCCUGGAUGUUUGUUAUGUAUAAGGCAAUUUAAUAAGUACUGGACAUCAGUCACCAACUCCUCACUGUUGUAUAUGAGUCACCUGGAAUACUUUGAAAAAUCCCACAGUCUGGCAGAAUUCCAGAGCCACUGUACUGGCAUCUGGAGUUCUCCAGGUGAUUCUAAUGUCGAGACAAGUAUGGGAACAGCUGUUGCUGCCUGAAAGCCUCCAGGAAACUUUCCCUCAAUUUGCAUGUGAGCCAAUAAAACAACUGUCUUGCUUUUAUCUGUGUUUUUAGCCAAGUUGCUAGAUGAAAUACAGGUUCUAUUAAAUGUGAAUUUCAGACGUCAAUUUUUAGUAAAAGAAUGUCACAUGCAAUAUUUGAGACACAAAAAAUUCAUUCAUUGCUUAUCUGAAUGUCCUUGAAUGCAAUCAGAUUUAAUUGCAGGGGGCACUUCUUGUGUUUCCCAGUAUUUUUAUUUGUCGAAUCUGGCAACCCUACAAACAAAACACAGCAGUACUCUAAAAAUCACUAAAGAGCAAUGUACAUUUUCUCUGUAUAUAAAGGAUUGUUAAGGAGACUGAACACUGAGGAGAAAACCAAGACGAAUCACCUUGCUAAUGCGCAGUAAUACCUGCUAGAAGUCUUCAUUCAUCUCCCUUCCUGAAUAGUCCUAAGCUUUAUAACAACUGGCUUAGUUUCUUGCUGUAUUCCCUCACUCAUAACUCAGUAAGUAAGCAACUCCCAAAUCCACUCCUAGUACUUCCAUCCCCAUCCUUACACCUUCCUCCUUUUGAACAAUUCAACCUAUUACAGUUUUUACUAAUUUUUUUUUCCUGAACCACACGAAAAGGUUGUAAAUCAAGAAAAUGCACAUAUAGGCUAGCUGAUGUGUGCACAGAACUAUCGGGACCCCUUUCCAUGUAUUAUCCCACUUUUAUUGAUGUGGAAAUGUAAGCUUUAGAGGAUAGGGAAAUUGCAGUAAAUUUAUGUCCUGAAUGCUGUUUUCAGUGCCAUUUUCAAAUAUAAACCACAGAGUCUUUCCAUAAUGGUCUAGAGAGAUAAAGGACUAUUAUCUCUGCCAACUUUUACACUUCAUUUUCUGGAAUUUUUCAUCAACCACACAAAUUGUGAUAAUAGAUAAAUAUAAAAUAGGAGUACCACAAACACUUAAACUGUAAGUGUCUAAUACUCAUUUGGGGGUAGGAAAGCAUGUAUGGGAAGUUUUGGGUGUAUUCUAUAGAAACAUUGUGAUGUAUUAGUUAGAGUGUACUAAAUUUUGUGGGGCCCAGACAUUGGCUUAAGUCCAGCAACCAGCCUUACUAAGUGACCUUAGGUCAGACACAAAACUCUGUGCUCCUUCACUUCUGCAUCUGUAAAAUUAAAGCCAUAGUGCCUAAAUUGUUUUGAUAACAGUGUGAUUGUGAGAACUAAAAUGAGAUCAUAUAUGUGGAUGAGGGUGGCCCUUGCAAACAUUAACAUUUUUACUAGGUAAAACAAGGAAGUAUAAGAACUGGUCUAGUUUUGCUCUAUACAGGGUAACUUAGGCUCUUGGAUAGUGUUUUAUAAGCUGUCAAGGCAAAUUGACCCAGAAAUAUCCUCAAGGGAUGAAGGAAAUGUUGGUUAGCAGGCCACAUGUAAGCAAUGAUUUUUUUUUUUUUUUAAGUAAAAAGAAAAGAUGAAAAUGCCAAGCCACAGGAUUAGCCCUCUUCGAGGUUCCUGGCAUCCUAACUGGGGAUCAUGGAUAUGUUAAAUAAUCGUGUUCUUUUCCCUUGAUUAGAUGGAACCAUUAAGUCAUCUGAAACUAAAACUGAGUCACAGACAAACUUAGGGGAAGAUACCCAAAGUCUGAGUGGUAAAGUAAAUGAAACGGGAAAAAAUGUGCAUGAAUACCAUGUUUCCAUGUCUCUGUUAGCAAGAGCUCCCCUAGUGAACCAUGACCCAUUUCUAAUUUUAGAGUUUGGGUGACUGCCUUACCUUGAGCCCCUUUAAGUUCGAAUGUGAUCAUUUUGACAAACUGUAGACUCUAUUUGCCAUUCAAGUUUUUGUGAAGAAUUUUUUUAAAAAAGCAAACAUCAUAUUUAACCCUCCCAGAAAGAAAAGAAAAGCAAUGUGAGUAGCCAAGUUUUCCGGCUACGGAUAACAUUUGUUCAGUUUUUAGAUACACUAAAUUGUUUGCAAACCCAGCUUCCCUAGUGUGUGUGUGUAUGUGUGUGUGUUUAACAAAAUAUUUAUUCUUUGUCAGGACUUAGUUGUGGUGAGAGCCUGGUGAGCAUAAUCUCUUAAGGUAUCUAAUAUUAACACAGUUUUGGAAAUCAUCUUUUAAAAAUGACUCCCUAUUCCACAAACUAUGAAACUGAAUUUUUCUCAUAAACUCUAUGCUUCGGUUGAAACACUCACCAUAUUCACUCAUUUAUGUUAAACCCAUCUUUACCAAAUUAAGUUACUCUUUUCUGAAAACCACCAGUGGCUUUUCAUUUACUCACAAAGCUUUGUUUCCCAGAAGGGUCUUAGAGCAUUCUUAUGUCUUAAGGUAGCUUACUCCUUUUCUUCAUGUCACCACCUCAGGAAAACAUGCCCAGACCCAUCCAGUCCUUCACAUCAUGCUCUCUUAGCACUUAACACCAUCGGAAAUAUAAUUUGUUGUACUUUUAGUUCUUUAACGAAUCUCCACACUGUUUUCCAUAGUAGCUGUACUAGUUUACAUUUCCACCAGCAGUGAAGUGUUCCCUGUUCACUGCAUCCAUAUUGAUAUCUACUUAAAAAAAUUUUUUUUAUUAUGGCCAUUCUUAUAGGAGUAGGUGGUAUCACAUUGUGGUUUUGAUUGGCAUUUCCCAGAUCAUUAUUGAUUUUUUUCAUAUGUUUGUUGGCCAUUUGUAUAUUUUCUUUUGAGAAUUGUCUAUUCAUGUCCUUAGCCCACUUUUUGAUGGGACUGGUUUUUUUUCUUACUAAUUUGUUUGAUCCAGCAAUCCCACUACUGAGUACCCAGAGGAAAAUAAGUCAUUAUUCAAAAAAGAUACUUGCACACACACGUUUAUAGUAGCAAAAUUCACAGUUGCAAAAUAGUGGAACCAACCCAAACACCCGUAAAUCAAUGAAUGGAUAAAGAAACUGUGGUAUAUAUACAUGAUGGAAUACUAUAUACCAUAAAAAGGAAUGAAUUAACAGCAUCUGCAGUGACCUGGAUGAGAUUGGAAACUAGUAUUCUAAGUGAUGUAACUCAGGAAUGGAAAGCCAAAUAUCAUAUAUUCUCACUGAUCCGUGGGAGCUAAGCUAUAAGGACAUAAAGGUAUAAGAAUGAUACAAUGGACU